CUUUAGUUGACAGAGUGUUUUACUUUUGGCUAAGAGGUAAAGUACUUGAGUUUCUUUUCACUACUGUGCCUCAUCACCAAUAACAGAGAGGUUACACACAAUACUAUUAGAAGACUUUAAUUCACCUUUGUCAGCAUGACAUCAAAGAUUCAGAAAACAAGUAAGAAUUUAGGAUACAGCAAAGACAAAGUCACCGGUCUCCAGUGUCUACGGUCCAGCGUGAAAUGGCAUCGCCUGGAGCACAUAGCUACCAGCCUAUGGGAUGUAUACUCAGGCCUGUUCGGUGAUCAAGCCAUGAUCCUCGCCGUGAACUCCAGGUACAAGAAGCUAUAAUGCUCUCGCAUUUCACUGACUGAAUAUCUUUAAAACACAACAGAGAAAACUCACAGUUGUGAAAAACAGAAAAUUACUCCAAAUCCUACCAUCCUAAUUCA